ACGGGUGAGUAAUACGUAGGAACUUGCCUUUCAGAGGGGGAUAACACGGGGAAACUCGUGCUAAUACCGCAUAAAGUCGAGAGACCAAAGCAGGGGACUGGCAAUAGCCUUGCACUGAGAGAGAGGCCUACGUCGGAUUAGCUAGUUGGUAGGGUAAAAGCCUACCAAGGCGACGAUCCGUAGCUGGUCUGAGAGGACGAUCAGCCACACUGGGACUGAGACACGGCCCAGACUCCUACGGGAGGCAGCAGUGGGGAAUUUUGGACAAUGGGGGCAACCCUGAUCCAGCAAUACCGCGUGUGUGAGGAAGGCCUGCGGGUUGUAAAGCACUUUAGGUUGGGAGGAAGUUUCGCGGGUUAAUAACCUGCGGAGUUGACGUUACCGACAGAAUAAGCACCGGCUAACUCUGUGCCAGCAGCCGCGGUAAUACAGAGGGUGCAAGCGUUAAUCGGAAUUAUUGGGCGUAAAGGGCAUGUAGGUGGUUUUGUAAGUCUGAUGUGAAAGCCCUGGGCUUAACCUGGGAAAGUCGUUAGAUACUGCGAGACUUGAGUCGGUAAGAGGGUAGUGGAAUUUCCGGUGUAGCGGU
rnacentral:rRNA from 1 species